GCUCAGAUUGAACGCUGGCGGCAGGCCUAACACAUGCAAGUCGAACGGUAACAGGAAGAAGCUUGCUUCUUUGCUGACGAGUGGCGGACGGGUGAGUAAUGUCUGGGAAACUGCCCGAUGGAGGGGGAUAACUACUGGAAACGGUAGCUAAUACCGCAUAACGUCGCAAGACCAAAGAGGGGGACCUUCGGGCCUCUUGCCAUCGGAUGUGCCCAGAUGGGAUUAGCUUGUUGGUGAGGUAACGGCUCACCAAGGCGACGAUCCCUAGCUGGUUUGAGAGGAUGACCAGCCACACUGGAACUGAGACACGGUCCAGACUCCUACGGGAGGCAGCAGUGGGGAAUAUUGCACAAUGGGCGCAAGCCUGAUGCAGCCAUGCCGCGUGUAUGAAGAAGGCCUUCGGGUUGUAAAGUACUUUCAGCGGGGAGGAAGGGAGUAAAGUUAAUACCUUGCUCAUGACGUACCCGCAGAA
rnacentral:rRNA from 1 species